rnacentral:rRNA from 1 species
UACGUAGGUGGCAAGCGUUGUCCGGAUUUAUUGGGUUUAAAGGGUGCGUAGGCGGUCUAUUAGGUCAGUGCUGAAAUAUCCCGGCUUAACCGGGAGGGUGGCAUUGAUACUGAUGGACUUGAGUGCAGUCGAGGUAGGCGGAAUUGACGGUGUAGCGGUGAAAUGCUUAGAUAUCGUCAAGAACACCGAUAGUGAAGACAGCUUACUAGACUGUAACUGACGCUGAGGCACGAAAGUGUGGGGAUCAAACAGG